rnacentral:tRNA from 1 species
ACAAUUUUAGUUUAAAUAGAAUAUUUGUUUUUGGAUCAAAAGGUUGAAAAUUGUU